rnacentral:rRNA from 1 species
UACAGAGGGUGCUAGCGUUGUUCGGAAUCAUUGGGCGUAAAGGGCGUGUAGGCGGUUUUGUUAAGUCAUGUGUGAAAUCCCUCGGCUCAACCGGGGAACGACGCAUGAAACUGGCAAGCUAGAGUACCAAAGAGGGGGGGUGGAAUUCCCGGUGUAGCGGUGAAAUGCGUAGAGAUCGGAAGGAACAUCUGUGGCGAAAGGCGACUAUCUGGGCCAACACUGACACUGAGGCACGAAAGCGUGGGGAGCAAACAGG